rnacentral:lncRNA from 1 species
GACAGCGCAAGCACCGGACGCCAAACGAACCGCAGUCAAAUUUAACGCCCAUUCAUAAAUGCCCAAUUCUUACAUUCGUGGACUCACUCGCUAUGACUUUUCGAAAAUCCAAACACAAAAUUACAGAAUUUGCAUAUGACAAGUUGCAAUAUAUAUAGAGAAUCUAAUAAAGAAGAAAUAACUGGUUAAAGUUCAAACAUCAUCCUAAAAUCUAGAAAGAGAAACCUCCAGGAAUCUUCUCUCUCUGCAGAGUACAGACAGGGGCAUACAUAGUGAUAUACAUCAUCUUUGUGCUCUGGUCUUUAUACAAGUCAUAACUUCGGUAUGUGUGAUUAUUUAUUCGAUUUUUUUAUUUAAAUUUUGAAUUUUACUUUGUGAUUUUAUGUUUCUGGAAUUAUAUUAGAAAAAUGAUUUAGCGAUUAUUUGUUAUUAUUGUUAUUUGAAAUCAAGUUGGAAGAGCGAUGAUUGUGAUUUGAAAAUAUUUGAGGUUGAUUUUGGAAGAACUGUGGCUUUCCGUAGUGGCAAUUUUGUUGAUUGUUUAGGAGAACGUGAUAAAGUUCUUUGCGGUGGUUUUUUAUUUCCUUUUUCUUUUUCUUUUUUAUUUUUUGUGGUUUUUAAUUUUCUGUUGUUGUGAGUAUGAUGCAAAAUUAUUCAAUUUAGAGAACAACCAAUGUUUGGAUUGCGAAUGCUAAUUUUUAUAAGGUCUGUUUAUAGAUAUCGUGUGAUUGAUUUGAUUAGGAGUGUUGCUCUCUUCAAUUGUAAUUGUUUUAGACAAACUACAGUUUCCGCAUGAAAUUGGUUUGUAUGGCUAUAAAUGUCCUCUUUCUGAAGUUUUGAUUUGGCGAUGAAGAUGAUAUGGUAAAGGUUUUGC